AACAAGGCGUACCUGCGGACCUGCGGAAGGAUCAUUACUGAGUCACGUGCUCAAACAACCCUUCUGUGGACCUGAAAUAAAACCGUUGCCUCGGCGGGCGGUCCCCCCCAAACCAACCCCACGUGGUGGGUUAGGGGAGACCAGACAGUCCGGUACGCUUAAGGCGUCCGGCGCCAGCCGCUGGCCCCAAACAAUUAAACUCCAGUAAUCUUUACCUUCUGAGUUUCAAUAUUUAAAAAU
rnacentral:misc_RNA from 1 species